GGAGCAGUGGCCGAGCGGCUUAAGGCGACGGUCUUGAAAACCGUUGAACCGAAAGGUUCCGGGGGUUCGAAUCCCUCCUGCUCCG
rnacentral:tRNA from 1 species